UACGUAGGGUGCGAGCGUUAAUCGGAAUUACUGGGCGUAAAGCGUGCGCAGGCGGUUUUGUAAGCCAGAUGUGAAAGCCCCGGGCUUAACCUGGGAAUGGCAUUUGGGACUGCAAGGCUGGAGUUUGGCAGAGGAGACUGGAAUUCCUGGUGUAGCAGUGAAAUGCGUAGAUAUCAGGAGGAACACCGGUGGCGAAGGCGGCAUCCUGGACCAACACUGACACUGAGGAGCGAAAGCCAGGGGAGCAAACGGG
rnacentral:rRNA from 1 species